UGAUUCCAUAUCAGGAGAGAACACCUAUUGAUUUUAAGCAUAUAAUUAAGUGGAGGAAAAGAAACUUACAAGGAUUUCCCUAGUAACGACGAGUGAAUCGAGAAGAUCCCAACAUGAAAAUUGGGUGGCAGGGCCACCUGAAUUGUAGUCUAUAGAAGCAUCCUUAGCAGUGGACUGGUCCCAAGUCCCUUGGAAGGGGGAGCCUGAGAGGGUGACAGCCCCAUCAGGCUGAAACCCUGUCGCACCACAAGGAGUUGUUGGCAAGUUGGGUUGUUUGGGAAUGCAACCCUAAUCGGGUGGUAAAUUCUAUCCAAGGAUAAAUACGGGUGAGAGAUUGAUAGAAAACAAGUACCAUGAAUGAAAGAUGAAAAGGACUUUGAAAAGAGAGUUAAAGAGUGCUUCAAAUUACCAGGAAGGAAGUGGAUGGAGGUUGGUGAUGCACCUUGGUUGGAUGUGGAACGACUCAAGUUGGUCUGUCACUCAACUCAAGGUGUGAACCAUCACAGUCCAUUGCAUCGGCAUAAGUGUGGUUGGAUUAAUACCUGUUAGUUUGUCAUUAUGGUGAUCGAGGAACGAAGCAUGCGCCCCUUAGGGUGAGCCACUGUGCACUUGCAUCCUCGUGGUGUUGGUUGGCAGGCUUUCCAUUCGACCCAUCUUGAAACACAGACUAAGGAGUCUAACAUGUGUGCAAUUAGGUGGGUUUGUAAACCUGUGAGGCGUAAGGAAGCUGACAGGUGAGAUCCCCUCUCCAUGGGGUGAAUUAUUGACCGACCUUGAGCUUUUGUGAAGGAUUCGAGUGCGACCACACUUGUUGGGACCCAAAAUAUGGUGAACUAUGCAUGAGAAGGGAAAAGACAAAGGAAAAUCUGGUGGAGGAUCGUAGUGAUACUGAUUGUCAGGCUUCUAAAUUGAAGCUUUUAAGUGACCUGAAACACUAAAUUGUCAAACCAGGGUUGGUAAACUUCGAGCUGAUACAUAUUAUGUGUAGGCAAGCAUCUAGUCUUUAUUUGAAUGCUAUCCUAUGAAUAAAACACACACCUAUUCUGGGAACUUGAAUUUUAAUGACUAACUUAAAACUGAGCAUUUCCUAUCUAAAUCAUCAACAGAAAAAUAGUCUUGUACUCCGAUGCUGGUACUGCUAUUUCUAUUCAAAAGCGUAGUUCUACAAAAUCAUUAUACCUCUAUGUUCAACCAUCUACCAUCAUCAUUUUCGUUUAAGUCAUGAAACACAGGGUAUUGUCGAAACUGCAUUCAUUCUGAGCAUCCAAAACAAAUCUAAUGCUAUCUAUAGGAAAACAGAGUAUUAUGCUACUAACUGGUACCAGGAGCUCCUUUUGUUCUAACUAUAACCCAAUUGUUCUAAGCACGCAAGGCAAAUACUGUCUAACGAAGCAAAGUGCACACUAAUUCUGAGUUAUGUUCGAAGUGAAAGUGAAAAGCCACACAAUCAUAUGCAUAUGCUAACCCUACAAGCAUCAGUACUACGUUUAACAUUCACCAACAUAAAAAGAUAACAGUCUGGAAAUUGAGUCUGUUGAGGAAUGAAUAAGCAUGAUUCUAAAACGUUUAAACUGUCAUGUAAGCAAGCAUUAACACACUGCAAGGAACUGAAGCUAUGAUAAACUAAAGCUAAAUCUAUGAACGCUAAGCUACCUAUGAUGCAAGUUCUAAAAUAUUGAAAUGAACGAAAGCUAUAACAACACAAACUAAAUCUAUUGCAAAUUAAGGCAGCGACUUGCACCAGUUUGGCGGGCCCAACCAAAUGGCACAAACGCUGUGGAAAAUGACCAGAGCUGACUAGAUCAUACGAUGCAGAUACAGUGUAACUCCACGCUUCAUUGACUCAUCAAAAAAUUAUUCAGAUCAUAUGACAAUCAAAAUAUACGCAACAACAGUUUGUAUUCAAGACAUAAGUUCAUAGCAUAAUAGCAAACGGAAACAGUAAUAGUAACAGCAGUAGUAGGAGUAACCCGUUCUCAGGAGUGAUCCAGGGUUUUAAUAGAAGUCUCCUUGUUCAUAACAGUCGAAUAACAAAGAUGCCUAAAACAAACAGAUCCCUGAUCCGAGGAUAGUCGUGGAAUCAGUUAAAACGUAUAUCACAUCUUCGUGACACGUAGUGUCACGAAGUGUGAAUGGUGAAGAGUAGUUGAUCCAGGUUUA
rnacentral:ncRNA from 1 species